GGCGGCAGACCCGAGCGCCCAGGACUCGCCGCUGCCCGCGCCCCGCCGCCGCUGCUGCCCCCAGCCCCGGCCCCAGGCGUCCCAGCCAUGGUACGCCCAAUGCUCUUGCUCGGCCUCGGCCUCCUGGCUGGUCUGCUGCCGGCGCUGGCCGCCUGCCCCCAGAACUGCCACUGCCACGGCGACCUGCAGCACGUCAUCUGCGACAAGGUGGGGCUGCAGAAGAUCCCCAAGGUGUCAGAGAAGACCAAGCUGCUCAACCUACAGCGCAACAACUUCCCGGUGCUGGCUGCCAAUUCGUUUCGAGACAUGCCGAACCUCGUGUCAUUGCACCUGCAGCACUGCCAGAUCCGCGAGGUGGCCGCCGGUGCCUUCCGCGGCCUCAAGCAGCUUAUCUACUUGUACCUGUCCCAUAGCGACAUCCGCGUGCUGCGCGCAGGCGCCUUCGACGACCUGACCGAGCUGACCUACCUCUACGUGGACCACAGCAAGGUCACUGAGCUGCCCCGGGGGUUGCUGUCCCCGCUGGUCAACCUCUUCAUCUUGCAGCUCAACAACGACAAGAUCCGUGAGCUGCGCGCAGGCGCCUUCCAGGCAGCCAAGGACCUGCGCUGGCUGUACCUGUCGGAAAACGCGCUGAGCUCCCUGCAGCCCGGCGUCCUGGACGACGUGGAGAACCUCGCCAAAUUCCACGUGGACAGGAACCAGCUGUCCAGCUACCCCUCGGCUGCCCUGAGCAAGCUACGGGUGGUGGAGGAGCUGAAGCUGUCCCACAACCCCUUGAAAAGCAUCCCGGACAAUGCCUUCCAGUCCUUUGGCAGAUACCUGGAGACCCUCUGGCUGGACAACACCAACCUGGAGAAGGUGAGCUCCUGGCUGUGGGCUCUGCCCUGCCUCCUUCUUCACUUCCUGGAGGCCCCAGGAGCCAGGGCCACAGCUGGCACCAUCCCCUGUCCCCAGGUUCCCUGUCCCUCUGGCUAUCUCCAAG